rnacentral:rRNA from 1 species
UGGCAGCAGUGGGGAAUAUUGCACAAUGGGCGAAAGCCUGAUGCAGCAACGCCGCGUGAGCGAUGAAGGCCUUUGGGUCGUAAAGCUCUGUCCUAGGGGACGAACACAAUGACGGUACCCUUGGAGGAAGCCCCGGCUAACUACGUGCCAGCAGCCGCGGUAAUA